rnacentral:rRNA from 1 species
AGUGAACGCUGGCGGUAGGCCUAACACAUGCAAGUCGAACGGCAGCACAGUAAGAGCUUGCUCUUACGGGUGGCGAGUGGCGGACGGGUGAGGAAUAAAUCGGAAUCUACUUUUUCGUGGGGGAUAACGUAGGGAAACUUACGCUAAUACCUCAUACGACCUACGGGUGAAAGCAGGGGAUCUUCGGACCUUGCGCGAUUGAAUGAGCCGAUGUCGGAUUAGCUAGUUGGCGGGGUAAAGGCCCACCAAGGCGACGAUCCGUAGCUGGUCUGAGAGGAUGAUCAGCCACACUGGCACUGAGACACGGUCCAGACUCCUACGGGAGGCAGCAGUGGGGAAUAUUGGACAAUGGGCGCAAGCCUGAUCCAGCCAUACCGCGUGGGUGAAGAAGGCCUUCGGGUUGUAAAGCCCUUUUGUUGGGAAAGAAAAGCAGCAGGUUAAUACCCCGCUGUUCUGACGGUACCCAAAGAAUAAGCACCGGCUAACUUCGUG